CAGCGUGUAGCUCAGUGAGCAGAGCACCGGGCUUCUCCCGGAGGGCGCGGGGGCGGAGCCCGCCACGCUGG
rnacentral:tRNA from 1 species